GGGCCUGCAGGGCCUCAGCUCUUCUUACCAGGUAAGGCAUGUCCGCCUGUGACUCAAGUAGGGCUGUGCUCUUUAACCUGGAACUCAGUUUCCCCCAAACAAGACUCACGCUCCAGAGAGAAUGCCUAUCUAUUCGGAGAAGGUUGUGGUUGAGAUGCUGCCAGGUUCAGGAGCUGCCCCUGUCCUGUUUUCCCCCAGACCCAGAUCCCCAGAGAGGUGGCCCUGGACCUGGAGUCAGGAGGCGGUGUCCAGGAGAGUCGCUCAUCAACCCCGGGUUCAAGAGUAAGAAACCAGCUGGUGGCGUGGACUUCGAUGAGACCUGAAGGUGCAGCACAAGCGUGGCCCCGCGGGGAGUCCGCCUGUGAGGGGAGAGGCAGUCUUUGAGGCCCCCAUCAGAGACCCCCCGCCACCACCUCCACCUGCCUGUCCUGGGCCAGGACUAAGACGGCUCCUCAAAUUCCUUCCCUGUCAAAUAAACAGCUCCCUUGGUUGGAG
rnacentral:sRNA from 1 species